rnacentral:rRNA from 1 species
CCGUAAUCCGGGUUGCGGACAGUGUCUGGUGGGUAGUUUGACUGGGGCGGUCUCCUCCUAAAGAGUAACGGAGGAGCACGAAGGUUGGCUAAUCCUGGUCGGACAUCAGGAGGUUAGUGCAAUGGCAUAAGCCAGCUUGACUGCGAGCGUGACGGCGCGAGCAGGUGCGAAAGCAGGUCAUAGUGAUCCGGUGGUUCUGAAUGGAAGGGCCAUCGCUCAACGGAUAAAAGGUACUCCGGGGAUAACAGGCUGAUACCGCCCAAGAGUUCAUAUCGACGGCGGUGUUUGGCACCUCGAUGUCGGCUCAUCACAUCCUGGGGCUGAAGUAGGUCCCAAGGGUAUGGCUGUUCGCCAUUUAAAGUGGUACGCGAGCUGGGUUUAGAACGUCGUGAGACAGUUCGGUCCCUAUCUGCCGUGGGCGCUGGAGAACUGAGGGGGGCUGCUCCUAGUACGAGAGGACCGGAGUGGACGCAUCACUGGUGUUCGGGUUGUCAUGCCAAUGGCACUGCCCGGUAGCUAAAUGCGGAAGAGAUAAGUGCUGAAAGCAUCUAAGCACGAAACUUGCCCCGAGAUGAGUUCUCCCUGACUCCUUGAGAGUCCUGAAGGAACGUUGAAGACGACGACGUUGAUAGGCCGGGUGUGUAAGCGCAGCGAUGCGUUGAGCUAACCGGUACUAAUGAACCGUGAGG